AUGUGAUCCAUGGAAGACCAAGAACAUGUGAUCUAAUAAUGAAAAACUAUGACAAGAGUGUGGUAGGCUGUAUAACACUGAAAACAUUGAAGACAUAAGCUAAAGGUAAGAAGCAUGAUGUGGCAAUCAAAGAUGACGUGGAGAGCAUCAAACACAUAGAAAAUGAUAUGGCAUAUCCUUGGUGACGUUUUUACUUGACAAAAUAUGAAAUGGAAGCUUAAUUAGGCAAAAAUUCAUGUGAAGAAAGCAAGGGAAUUCAAUUGAAGUUCAAUUUCCUAGUAUUUCUAGUUUUCUAGUUGUUUAGGUGUUUUAUUUGUUUUAGGAGUCUUUGUUUUAUUUUCUUUAGGAAUUAUAAUUGAAUUAGGAUUAUUAUUUUUAUUAUCUUAUUUAGAUUGAGAUUAUUAUUAUCCUAAAGAUUAUGUUUAUUAUUAUCCUAUUCAGACUAGGGCUAUAAAUAUCAAUGUAACCUUGGGAUAGAGGAUACACAAUGGAUUAAUAAAAUUAUGAGAUCUUUUUCUUGGUUCUUUUGAGAACUCAUGAAUUUAUCAAAAAUAUUUUCUUUUGGGCAUUCAAAUAUGACUUAUCACUCUCCUUCUUUUCUAUUCUAGAGUGUGGCGUCAACUCAUACCUUUGGUUCAUGUCAAUUAUAGACAUCGGGUCAUUGUUUUUAUACUUUUGGUUCAUGAUUAUCCAUAAUCAUUGGGUCAACGGUUUUUAUAAUUUUGGUUCGUGUCAAUUAUAGGCAUUAGGUAAAGGUUAAUUAUGUGACGAAACUGAUUCAAUCCUAGGAAAAUAGCUUCUUGAGUGUUGGGCCUUGCGUCAAAUCGUCAAGGUUCGCAUCAGUUGGUAUCAGAGCCGAGUCGAAUCAGGUUACAAUCAUGUCAUCAUGCCAAAAUAAAAGUUCUACUAAAAGUGAUGAUUUGAGGGCAAAUCAUUUUAAAGAGAGGGGGAAUGAUGUGAUCCAUGGAAGACCAAGAACAUGUGAUCUAAUAAUGAAAAACUAUGACAAGAGUGUGGUAGGCUGUAUAACACUGAAAACAUUGAAGACAUAAGCUAAAGGUAAGAAGCAUGAUGUGACAAUCAAAGAUGACGUGGAGAGCAUCAAACGCAUAGAAAAUGAUAUGGCACAUCCUUGGUGACGUUUUUACUUGACAAAAUAUGAAAUGGAAGCUUAAUUAGGCAAAAAUUCAUGUGAAGAAAGCAAGGGAAUUCAAUUGAAGUUCAAUUUCCUAGUAUUUCUAGUUUUCUUGUUGUUUAGGUGUUUUAUUUGUUUUAGGAGUCUUUGUUUUAUUUUCUUUAGGAAUUAUAAUUGAAUUAGGAUUAUUAUUUUUAUUAUCUUAUUUAGAUUGAGAUUAUUAUUAUCCUAAAGAUUAUGUUUAUUAUUAUCCUAUUCAGACUAGGGCUAUAAAUAUCAAUGUAACCUUGGGAUAGAGGAUACACAAUGGAUUAAUAAAAUUAUGAGAUCUUUUUCUUGGUU